AGGGAAUUGCUCUAGUAACGGCGAGUGAAGCAGCAAUAGCUCAAAUUUGAAAUCUGGCGUCUUCGACGUCCGAGUUGUAAUUUGUAGAGGAUGCUUCUGAGUGGCCACCGACCUAAGUUCCUUGGAACAGGACGUCAUAGAGGGUGAGAAUCCCGUAUGCGGUCGGAAAGGCGCUCUAUACGUAGCUCCUUCGACGAGUCGAGUUGUUUGGGAAUGCAGCUCUAAAUGGGAGGUAAAUUUCUUCUAAAGCUAAAUAUUGGCCAGAGACCGAUAGCGCACAAGUAGAGUGAUCGAAAGAUGAAAAGCACUUUGGAAAGAGAGUUAAAAAGCACGUGAAAUUGUUAAAAGGGAAGGGAUUGCAACCAGACUUGCUCGCGGUGUUCCGCCGGUCUUCUGACCGGUCUACUCGCCGCGUUGCAGGCCAGCAUCGUCUGGUGCCGCUGGAUAAGACUUGAGGAAUGUAGCUCCCUCGGGAGUGUUAUAGCCUCUUGUGAUGCAGCGAGCGCCGGGCGAGGUCCGCGCUUCGGCUAGGAUGCUGGCGUAAUGGUCGUAAUCCGCCCGUCUUGAAACACGGACCAGGGAGUCUAACAUCUAUGCGAGUGUUCGGGUGUCAAACCCCUACGCGUAAUGAAAGUGAACGGAGGUGAGAAACCGCAAGGUGCAUCAUCGACCGAUCCUGAUGUCUUCCGGAUGGAUUUGAGUAAGAGCAUAGCUGUUGGGGACCCGAAAAG
rnacentral:rRNA from 1 species